GCUUAAUCAAGCUCGGAAGAUAGCUGGUUCUCCUCGAAAGCUAUUUAGGUAGCGCCUCAUGUCUCACCUUGGGGGGUAGAGCACUGUUUCGGCUAGGGGGUCAUCCCGACUUACCAACCCGAUGCAAACUCCGAAUACCCAAGAGUGCAAUCAUGGGAGACACACGGCGGGUGCUAACGUCCGUCGUGAAAAGGGAAACAACCCAGACCGCCAGCUAAGGUCCCAAACUUCUAGUUAAGUGGGAAACGAUGUGGGAAGGCUCAGACAGCUAGGAGGUUGGCUUAGAAGCAGCCAUCCUUUAAAGAAAGCGUAAUAGCUCACUAGUCGAGUCGGCGUGCGCGGAAGAUAUAACGGGGCUCAAACUAGAGACCGAAGCUGCGGAUGCGUUUAACGCAUGGUAGAGGAGCGUUCUGUAAGCUGUUGAAGCGGAAGCUGUAAGGCACCGUGGAGGUAUCAGAAGUGCGAAUGUUGACAUAAGUAACGAUAAAGGGAGUGAAAAACUCCCUCGCCGGAAGACCAAGGGUUCCUAUCCAACGUUAAUCGGGGUAGGGUGAGUCGACCCCUAAGAUGAGGCUGAAAAGCGUAAUCGAUGGGAAGCAGGUUAAUAUUCCUGCACCUCGCAUAGCUGCGAUGGAGAGACGGAGAAGGCUAGGCUAGCGCGGCGUUGGUUGUCCGCGUUUAAGGAUGUAGGUUUGGAACUUAGGCAAAUCCGGGUUCCUAUAUGACUGAGAUCUGAUGACGAGCUCCUAUAUGGAGUGAAGUAGUUGAUGCCCGGCUUCCAGGAAAAUCUUCUAAGCUUCAGGCUAUGUGGGAUCGUACCCCAAACCGACACAGGUGGUCAGGUUGAGAAUACCAAGGCGCUUGAGAGAACUCGGGUGAAGGAACUAGGCAAAAUGGCACCGUAACUUCGGGAGAAGGUGCGCCGGUUUUGGUGAUGGGACUUGCUCCCUAAGCUGAGGCCGGUCGAAGAUACCAGGUGGCUGCGACUGUUUAUUAAAAACACAGCACUCUGCAAACACGAAAGUGGACGUAUAGGGUGUGACGCCUGCCCGGUGCUUGAAGGUUAAUUGAUGGGGUUAGCGUAAGCGAAGCUCUUGAUCGAAGCCCAAGUAAACGGCGGCCGUAACUAUAACGGUCCUAAGGUAGCGAAAUUCCUUGUCGGGUAAGUUCCGACCUGCACGAAUGGCGUAACGAUGGCCACAC
rnacentral:rRNA from 1 species